ACACGCUCGUGAGUGGGAGCAUUCACAACACAUCAUGUUGGUCAAAGUGAGAUUUGGUGAAACUCAGAAGUAUGUUAAAGUUGCCCAAACUGAAGAGGGCUAUGAAGACUACGAUACAUUUCUUCAGAAAGUCAUAGAAAAGUUAGGUCUUCCAUUGCAGACCGAGCUGCAUGUCACAGAUGAAUCUGGGACAGAAGUGGAUGCGGAUGUGUAUGAGGAGCUUUUAAAAGCAGGGAAUCUUAUCAUUCAUGUGUCCACAGAAACGUCUACAGGUAAGACUUUGCUCCGUUAGAGUGUUUGUUUUUCAAAGUUCAAUUAAAGCUGAACUAGCCUGUUGUGCCCUAAUAUGCUAGACCGUUUGGUUGUCAAGCCUAAAAUAAGUUGUUAGAGGUUCUUGAGCGUGUAUGUUUCUUUUAAAUGUCUUGCAGUUGUGCUUAAUCAAGAUCUCUCACAUUCUUCAUCAGAGUUGCU